GGGCCGCAAGGUUACUGAACCCUUUCAAACUCUGAAUUCUGGUGAGUAAUAUCUGGGAGUGAGACUGCGGGAGAUAAGUUUCGUAGUCAAAAGGGAAAGAGCCCAGACUAUCGGCUAAGGUCCCUAAAUAUAUACUAAGUGGUCAAGGAUGUGGGAGAUCACAGACAAUCAGGAGGUUGGCUUAGAAGCAGCCACCCUUUAAAGAAAGCGUAAUAGCUCACUGAUCGAGAUAGCCUGCGCCGUAAAUAUAACGGGGCUAAGUAUAUUACCGAAGCCGUAGACUUUGCGUGAGCAAAGUGGUAGGAGAGCGUUCCAAUAGCGAUGAAGAUAAAUCGGCAAGGUUUAUUGGAGUGAUUGGAAGUGAGAAUGCUGACAUGAGUAGCGAUAAAGAGGGUGAAAAUCCCUCUCGCCGAAAACCCAAGGGUUCCUGUCCAAGGCCAAUCCGGGCAGGGUUAGUCGGCCCCUAAGGUGUAGCCGAAAGGCGAAGCUGAUGGGAAACAGGUUAAUAUUCCUGUACUGUUUGCGUGGAGCAAGAGCAAGGACGGAGGAGGGUAGGCCGGCCAGUUAUGGAUUCUGGCGUAAGCAUGUAGGCCGAAGUGUAGGAAUAAAACGCACUUCNAUGGCUGAGAUGUGAAAUCUGGUUGAUCCCAUGCUUCCAAGAAAAGUUGCGAUCUGCAUUUGACACGUAAUACAACCGUACCCCAAACCAACUCAGGUGGGUAGGUGGAGAACACUAAGGCGCUUGAGAGAACUCGGGUUAAGGAACUAGGCAAAUUGACACCGUAACUUCGGGAGAAGGUGUGCCAUCAUUAGGUGAAGCCCCUGCGGGUGGAGCNGAAGGUGGUUGCAACAAAGCAGCGGUAGCGACUGUUUACCAAAAACACAGGACUCUGCGAAAUCGUAAGAUGAUGUAUAGGGUCUGACGCCUGCCCGGUGCUGGAAGGUUAAGAGGAGGUGUGAGAGCUCCGAAUCGAAGCCCCAGUAAACGGCGGCCGUAACAAUAACGGUCCUAAGGUAGCGAAAUUCCUUGUCGGGUAAGUUCCGACCUGCACGGAAUGGCGUAANGANUUCCGCACUGUCUCGACCCGGGACUCAGCGAAAUUGACAUUGGGGUGAAGAUGCCCCAUACCCGCAGCAAGACGGAAAGACCCUGUGAACCUUUACUCUAACUUGGCAGUGAUAAUUGGUUUAGUUUGUGUAGGAUAGGUGGGAGACAAUGAUUCGUGGGCGCCAGCUUACGUUGAGUCAUUGGUGAAAUACCACCCUGAUUACUCUGAUUAUCUAACCGGCGCAAAACGUCGGGACAUUGUCUGGUGGGGAGUUUGACUGGGGCGGUCGCCUCCUAAAAGGUAACGGAGGCGUACAAAGGUCCUCUCAGGCUGAUUGGCAACCAGCCGUAGAGUGCAAUGGCAUAAGAGGGCUUGACUGCGAGACCGACGGGUCGAGCAGGUGGGAAACCAGGUCAUAGUGAUCCGGCGAUCUCUGUGUGGAAAGGUCGUCGCUCAACGAAUAAAAGGUACUCCGGGGAUAACAGGCUGAUCCCGCCCAAGAGUUCACAUCGACGGCGGGGUUUGGCACCUCGAUGUCGGCUCAUCGCAUCCUGGGGCUGGAGCAGGUCCCAAGGGUAUGGCUGUUCGCCAUUUAAAGC
rnacentral:rRNA from 1 species